rnacentral:rRNA from 1 species
CAGUCGAACGGAUCCUUCGGGAUUAGUGGCGGACGGGUGAGUAACACGUGGGAACGUGCCUUUUGGUUCGGAACAACUCAGGGAAACUUGAGCUAAUACCGGAUAAGCCUUUUGAGGGAAAGAUUUAUCGCCAUUAGAGCGGCCCGCGUAGGAUUAGCUAGUUGGUGAGGUAAAGGCUCACCAAGGCUACGAUCCUUAGCUGGUCUGAGAGGAUGAUCAGCCACAUUGGGACUGAGACACGGCCCAAACUCCUACGGGAGGCAGCAGUGGGGAAUCUUGCGCAAUGGGCGAAAGCCUGACGCAGCCAUGCCGCGUGAAUGAUGAAGGUCUUAGGAUUGUAAAAUUCUUUCACCGGGGACGAUAAUGACGGUACCCGGAGAAGAAGCCCCGGCUAACUUCGUGCCAGCAGCCGCGGUAAUACGAAGGGGGCUAGCGUUGCUCGGAAUUACUGGGCGUAAAGGGAGCGUAGGCGGAUAGUUUAGUCAGAGGUGAAAGCCCAGGGCUCAACCUUGGAAUUGCCCUUGAUACUGGCUAUCUUGAGUACGGAAGAGGUAUGUGGAACUCCGAGUGUAGAGGUGAAAUUCGUAGAUAUUCGGAAGAACACCAGUGGCGAAGGCGACAUACUGGUCCGUUACUGACGCUGAGGCUCGAAAGCGUGGGGAGCAAACAGGAUUAGAUACCCUGGUAGUCCACGCUGUAAACGAUGAGUGCUAGUUGUCGGCAUGCAUGCAUGUCGGUGACGCAGCUAACGCAUUAAGCACUCCGCCUGGGGAGUACGGUCGCAAGAUUAAAACUCAAAGGAAUUGACGGGGGCCCGCACAAGCGGUGGAGCAUGUGGUUUAAUUCGAAGCUACGCGCAGAACCUUACCACCUUUUGACAUGCCUGGACCGCCACAGAGAUGUGGUUAUCCCUUCUGGGACUGGGACACAGGUGCUGCAUGGCUGUCGUCAGCUCGUGU